rnacentral:rRNA from 1 species
AGAACGAACGCUGGCGGCAUGCCUAAUACAUGCAAGUCGAACGAACUCUUCGGAGUUAGUGGCGCACGGGUGCGUAACGCGUGGGAAUCUGCCCCUUGGUUCGGAAUAACAGUUGGAAACGACUGCUAGUACCGGAUGAUGACGAAAGUCCAAAGAUUUAUCGCCAAGGGAUGAGCCCGCGUAGGAUUAGCUAGUUGGUGAGGUAAAGGCUCACCAAGGCAACGAUCCUUAGCUGGUCUGAGAGGAUGAUCAGCCACACUGGGACUGAGACACGGCCCAGACUCCUACGGGAGGCAGCAGUAGGGAAUAUUGGACAAGUGGGCGAAAGCCUAGAUCCAGCAAUGCCGCGUGAGUGAUGAAGGCCUUAGGGUUGUAAAGUCUCUUUUACCCGAGAUGAUAAUGACUAGUAUCGGGAAGAAGUAACGCCCCGGACUAACCGUCCGUGACC